CUAAAAGACUGCCGAAGACAGUAGGUGUCCGCAAGGACGUAAGCGUGAUGCGCGCCUACCGAGGAAGAAUAGAUUAGUACGUCAUGUAUGAAUUUCAACCUCUGUGUCUUUGACACGGAGGUUUUUUAUAU
rnacentral:sRNA from 1 species